ensembl:snRNA U1 U1 spliceosomal RNA
GGAAUUUGGCAGGGGAGAUACCAUGAUCACGAAGGUGGUUUUCCCAGCGUGAGGCUUAUCCAUUGCACUUAUUCAUUGUGCUAACCCCUGCAAUUUCCCCAAAUGUGGGACACUCAACUGCAUAAUUUGUGGUAGUGGGGGACGGCAUUUGUGCUUUCCCCUG